GUAUAGAACCUACCUUUUACUGGAGAAUAGCCCAGAGAAAUUUGGAUUAAUGCUCCAUAGUAUCAUUUUUUGGCAUCAUUAGGUGAUUAAAGAUUUAUCGGUAAAAGAUGGCUAUGCGUUCUAUUAGCUAGUUGGUAUGGUAACGGCAUACCAAGGCGACGAUAGAUAGGGGUCCUGAGAGGGAGAUCCCCCACACUGGUACUGAGACACGGACCAGACUCCUACGGGAGGCAGCAGUGAGGAAUAUUGGACAAUGGAGGCAACUCUGAUCCAGCCAUGCCGCGUGUAGGAAGACUGCCCUAUGGGUUGUAAACUACUUUUAUAGAGGAAGAAACCGCUCUACGUGUAGAGCUCUGACGGUACUCUACGAAUAAGGAUCGGCUAACUCCGUGCCAGCAGCCGCGGUAAUACGGAGGAUCCAAGCGUUAUCCGGAAUCAUUGGGUUUAAAGGGUCCGUAGCGGGUUUGUAAGUCAGUGGUGAAAGUUUUCGGCUCAACCGGAAAAUUGCCAUUGAUACUGCAAGUCUUGAAUCAUUGUGAAGUGGUUAGAAUAUGUAGUGUAGCGGUGAAAUGCAUAGAUAUUACACAGAAUACCGAUUGCGAAGCAGAUCACUAACAAUGUAUUGACGCUAAGGGACGAAAGCGUGGGUAGCGAACAGGAUUAGAUACCCUGGUAGUCCACGCCGUAAACGAUGGUUACUAGCUGUUCGGAUUUCGGUCUGAGUGGCUAAGCGAAAGUGAUAAGUAACCCACCUGGGGAGUACGUUCGCAAGAAUGAAACUCAAAGGAAUUGACGGGGGCCCGCACAAGCGUGGAGCAUGUGGUUUAAUUCGAUGAUACGCGAGGAACCUUACCAGGGCUUAAAUGUAGUCUGACAGCUUUAGAGAUAGAGUUUUCUUCGGACAGAUUA
rnacentral:rRNA from 1 species